GAAUGGAGUGCGUCGUCGGCAUGUCGCCCCCGCCGAUGGCGCGCUCCGGGGGACGGGCUUAGGCCCGUCCCCACGGAUACCUUCCGGUGGAGAAUGCCCCCCUCCGUUGGAAGGCGCGGCGGGCGGUGAGGUUCCCCCAGCCUCACCGCCCGUUUCU
rnacentral:sRNA from 19 species